rnacentral:rRNA from 1 species
UACGUAGGGUGCGAGCGUUGUCCGGAAUUAUUGGGCGUAAAGAGCUCGUAGGCGGUGUGUCACGUCGAUCGUGAAAACUUACAGCUUAACUGUGAGCGUGCGGUCGAUACGGGCAUCACUGGAGUUCGGCAGGGGAGACUGGAAUUCCUGGUGUAGCGGUGAAAUGCGCAGAUAUCAGGAGGAACACCGGUGGCGAAGGCGGGGUCUCUGGACAGUUCCUGACACUGAGGCACGAAGGCCAGGGGAGCAAACGGGG